UACGGGGGGAGCAAGCGUUGUUCGGAUUUACUGGGCGUAAGGGGCGGGUAGGCGGCCACCGCAAGUCGACUGUGAAAUCUCCGGGCUUAACCCGGAAAGGUCAGCCGAUACUGCGGGGCUAGAGUGCAGAAGGGGCAACUGGAAUUCUCGGUGUAGCGGUGAAAUGCGUAGAUAUCGAGAGGAACACCUGCGGCGAAGGCGGGUUGCUGGGCUGACACUGACGCUGAACUGCGAAAGCUAGGGGAGCGAACGGG
rnacentral:rRNA from 1 species